UAAAAUUGUAAUUAAAGAAAAUUAAAUUAGUAUUAGUUAUGGUCUUGAAAAUUAAAAAUUUUGGCGGUAUUUUAAUCUUUUCAGAGGAAUCUGUUCUAUAAUUGAUAAUCCACGAUUAAUUAAACUUUUUUUUUAAAUUUGUAUAUCGUUGUAGAUUGAAUAUUUUAAAAGAAUUUAAAUUUUCAAAAUUUAUUAUAAUAAAAAAAUUCAGAUCAUGAUGCAGUUUAUGGAGAAGGAGAAAUGGAUUACAGAAAAAUUAUUUUUGGAUUAAUAAUUGAAAAUUAUUAUGAAAUUGGAUUUGAAAGUAAUUUAAAUAUAUUUAUAUUAAAUGAUUUUAGUUCUAAAAUAUGU
rnacentral:rRNA from 1 species